GGACCUGUAGCCUAGCUUGGACAAGGCGACAGCCUUCUAAGCUGUAGAUCGUGGGUUCAAAUCCCGCCAGGUCCG
rfam:Candidatus Altiarchaeum sp. CG2_30_32_3053 cg_3.0_sub100_scaffold_246_c, whole genome shotgun sequence.